rnacentral:rRNA from 1 species
AGAGUUUGAUCAUGGCUCAGAACGAACGCUGGCGGCGUGGAUAAGACAUGCAAGUCGGACGGGAUUUUCCGCUGUAGCAAUACGAUGGAAAGUCUAGUGGCGAACGGGUGCUUAACACGUGGGCAACCUGCCAGGAAGUGGGGGAUAGCUCGCCGAAAGGGAAUUAAUACCGCAUGUGAUUAGAGAGGACAUCCUUUCGAAAUUAAAGUCGGGGCAACCUGACGCUUCUUGUGGGGCCCGCGGCCUAUCAGCUAGUUGGUGAGGUAAUGGCUCACCAAGGCUUUGACGGGUAGCUGGUCUGAGAGGACGACCAGCCACACUGGGACUGAGACACGGCCCAGACACCUACGGGUGGCAGCAGUCGAGAAUUUUUGACAAUGGGGGAAACCCUGAUCGAGCGACGCCGCGUGGAGGAUGAAGGUCUUCGGAUUGUAAACUCCUGUCAUUGGGGAACAAGGUGCAUACGUUAACUGCGUGUGCAUUGAUAGUACCCGAAGAGGAAGAGACGGCUAACUCUGUGCCAGCAGCCGCGGUAAUACAGAGGUCUCAAGCGUUGUUCGGAUUCAUUGGGCGUAAAGGGUGCGUAGGCGGCGCGGUAAGUCGGGUGUGAAAUCUCGGAGCUUAACUCCGAAACUGCAUUCGAUACUGCCGUGCUUGAGGACUGGAGAGGAGACUGGAAUUUACGGUGUAGCGGUGAAAUGCGUAGAUAUCGUAAGGAAGACCAGUGGCGAAGGCGGGUCUCUGGACAGUUCCUGACGCUGAGGCACGAAGGUCAGGGGAGCAAACGGGAUUAGAUACCCUAGUAGUCC